UACGAAGGGUGCAAGCGUUGCUCGGAAUUAUUGGGCGUAAAGGGUUGGUAGGUGGUCUUGUUUGUCUUAGGUGAAAUCCCAUGGCUUAACUGUGGAAGUGCCUGAGAAACGGCAAGACUAGAGUCCUAGAGGGGUUUGUGGAAUUCCCGGUGUAGCGGUGAAAUGCGUAGAGAUCGGGAGGAACACCAGCGGCGAAGGCGGCAAACUGGAUAGGCACUGACACUCAACAACGAAAGCGUGGGGAGCAAAC
rnacentral:rRNA from 1 species